UUCUCAUCGAUCGAGACCUAACACUGCACAGUACUGAAAAGUAUACAUCGCUGAUAGUUUUAAGAACACGAGGAUAGUUUAAGCCCGUCGUUUUAUUUCUUGUUUAGAUUUUAAACUUAUAGACUUCUGAAUAUUGGGCGAUAUUUACCACACAAUGACUGCUGGCCUCACAGUCUGGCUGGGAUUUUUGUAUGUUUUUUUGGCAAGUGCGAACGGACGGGUGCCCGGAUGUAAAGAACCACGACUAUACGCUAAAUACCGUCAUCAUCGCGACCACAAGGUCACCCACAUCAGGGGUUUUCCCGCCGGAGCCACAGUGACAACCCAGUGUGUUGCUGGGUCACGUGACGAAAAGAGGCCAAUCGAAGCGGACUUGUAGACGCGGACGCUGGACGGGAUUUCCUUUAGCAUGCAGGAAAAAAGAAGUUGAAUGUCCAGAGCCUAUCCCACCGAUAGGUGGAUACGUCACUCGUCAUAGUGGGGCAAAUGCGGGGAGCGUGAGGUUUUCUUGUCUCGAUGGUUUAGAGACUGAAGGGCAAGUGGAAGCC